ensembl:miRNA
UAUUAGGUUGGUGCAAAAGUAAUCGCGGUUUUUGCCAUUGAAAGUAAUGGCAAAAACCGCGAUUACUUUU